rnacentral:tRNA from 1 species
AAGGAUAUAGCGCAGUUUGGUAGCGUACUUGAUUUGGGAUUAAGUGGCUGUAGGUUCAAAUCCUUCUAUCCCGA